ACACACAUCACCUGGAGAUCUUGCUAAAAUGCAGAUUCUGCUUCUAGGUCCAGGGAGGGCCUGAGAUUCUGCAUUUCUAACAAGCUCUCAAUUGGCGCUGCU
rnacentral:pre_miRNA from 1 species